GUAGGUGGCAAGCGUUGUCCGGAAUUAUUGGGCGUAAAGCGCGCGCAGGCGGUUCUUUAAGUCUGAUGUGAAAGCCCACGGCUCAACCGUGGAGGGUCAUUGGAAACUGGAGAACUUGAGUACAGAAGAGGAAAGCGGAAUUCCACGUGUAGCGGUGAAAUGCGUAGAGAUGUGGAGGAACACCAGCGGCGAAGGCGGCUUUCUGGUCUGUAACUGACGCUGAGGCGCGAAAGCGUGGGGAGCAAACAGGAUUAGAUACCCUGGUAGUCCACGCCGUAAACGAUGAGUGCUAAGUGUUAGGGGGGUUUCCGCCCCCCUUAGUGCUGCAGCUAACGCAUUAAGCACUCCGCCUGGGAGUACGGCCGCAAGGCUG
rnacentral:rRNA from 1 species